CCUACGGGAGGCUGCAGUGAGGAAUAUUGGUCAAUGGACGAGAGUCUGAACCAGCCAAGUAGCGUGAAGGAUGACUGCCCUAUGGGUUGUAAACUUCUUUUAUAAAGGAAUAAAACGAGGCACGUGUGCCCUUUUGCAUGUACUUUAUGAAUAAGGAUCGGCUAACUCCGUGCCAGCAGCCGCGGUAAUACGGAGGAUCCGAGCGUUAUCCGGAUUUAUUGGGUUUAAAGGGAGCGUAGAUGGGUUGUUAAGUCAGUUGUGAAAGUUUGCGGCUCAACCGUAAAAUUGCAAUUGAUACUGGCAGUCUUGAGUACAGUUGAGGUAGGCGGAAUUCGUGGUGUAGCGGUGAAAUGCUUAGAUAUCACGAAGAACCCCGAUUGCGAAGGCAGCUUACUAAACUGUGACUGACAUUGAUGCUCGAAAGUGUGGGUAUCAAACAGGAUUAGAUACCCCAGUAGUC
rnacentral:rRNA from 1 species